rnacentral:rRNA from 1 species
UACGUAGGGUGCAAGCGUUAAUCGGAAUUACUGGGCGUAAAGCGUGCGCAGGCGGUGAUGUAAGACAGGUGUGAAAUCCCCGGGCUUAACCUGGGAACUGCAUUUGUGACUGCAUCGCUGGAGUGCGGCAGAGGGGGGUGGAAUUCCGCGUGUAGCAGUGAAAUGCGUAGAUAUGCGGAGGAACACCGAUGGCGAAGGCAAUCCCCUGGACCUGUACUGACGCUCAUGCACGAAAGCGUGGGGAGCAAACAGG